rnacentral:rRNA from 1 species
GACAGAGGUGCCAAGCGUUAGGCGGAAUCACUGGGCUUAAAGCGUGUGUAGGCGGAAUUGUAAGUACCUUGUGAAAUCCCACGCUCAACCGUGGAACUGCUCGGUAUACUGCUUUUUCUUAGCCACUUAGGGGCUGUCGGAACAAACGGUGGAGCGGUGAAAUGCGUAGAUAUCGUUUGGAACGCCAACGGUGAAAACAGACAGCUGGGAGUGUGCUGACGCUGAGACGCGAAAGCGUGGGGAGCGAACAGG